rnacentral:rRNA from 1 species
GACGAACGCUGGCGGCGUGCUUAACACAUGCAAGUCGAACGGAAAGGCCUGCUUUCCCUUGUGGAUUGCGGGUACUCGAGUGGCGAACGGGUGAGUAACACGUGAGUGAUCUGCCCCCAACUUGGGUAUAAGCCUGGGAAACUGGGUCUAAUUCCCGAUAGGACUGCAGGGUGGUGCCUGUGGUGGAAAACGAUUUUCUAGUGGUUGGGGAUGAGCUCGCGGCCUAUCAGCUUGUUGGUGGGGUAAUGGCUUACCAAGGCGGCGACGGGUCGCCGGCCUGGGAGGGUGGACGGCCACAUUGGGACUGGGAUACGGCCCAGACUCCUACGGGAGGCAGCAGUGGGGAAUAUUGCACAAUGGGCGGAAGCCUGAUGCAGCGACGCCGCGUGGGGGAUGACGGCCUUCGGGUUGUAAACUCCUUUCGACCGCGAGGAAGCCACCUGGUUGGAAGGGUGGUGACGGUAGUGGUAGAAGAAGCACCGGCUAACUACGUG